UGUACUACAAGGCAUUGGAUUAUCAUG
rnacentral:piRNA from 1 species